AAUUCUCAACUCCGAUCGAUUUGUUUCGACCUCGGAGCUUGGACUUUGGAGCGUGCUGGCGUCGGUCGGCUCCUCUCAAAUGCAUCAGCGGAAUCUAACGUUUCGGACGUCAGUGUGAUAAUCAUGUUGCGCUGUCGACCGAUCCUGAAAGCCCGCUCAUAAUGGUCUUCGGACAACUUCAUAUCAA
rnacentral:misc_RNA from 1 species